rnacentral:rRNA from 1 species
AUUGAACGCUGGCGGAAUGCUUUACACAUGCAAGUCGAACGGCAGCACGGGGGCAACCCUGGUGGCGAGUGGCGAACGGGUGAGUAAUACAUCGGAACGUGCCCGGUCGUGGGGGAUAACGUAGCGAAAGUUACGCUAAUACCGCAUACGAUCUGAGGAUGAAAGCGGGGGACCUUCGGGCCUCGCGCGAUCGGAGCGGCCGAUGUCGGAUUAGGUAGUUGGUGGGGUAAAGGCCUACCAAGCCGACGAUCUGUAGCUGGUCUGAGAGGACGACCAGCCACACUGGGACUGAGACACGGCCCAGACUCCUACGGGAGGCAGCGGUGGGGAAUUUUGGACAAGGGGCGCAAGCCUGAUCCAGCCAUUCCGCGUGAAGGACGAAGGCCUUCGGGUUGUAAACUGCUUUUGUAUGGAACGAAAAGGCUCUGGCUAAUACCUGGGGCUCAUGACGGUACCGUAAGAAUAAGCACCGGCUAACUACGUG